rnacentral:rRNA from 1 species
AUUGAACGCUGGCGGCAGGCCUAACACAUGCAAGUCGAACGAGUGGCGGACGGGUGAGUAAUGUCUGGGAAACUGCCUGAUGGAGGGGGAUAACUACUGGAACCGGUAGCUAAUACCGCAUACCAUCAGAUGUGCCCAGAUGGGAUUAGCUUGUUGGUGGGGUAACGGCUCACCAAGGCGACGAUCCCUAGCUGGUCUGGGAGGAUGACCGGCAACACGGGAACGGAGACACGGUCCAGAGUCCUACGGGAGGCAGCAGUGGGGAAUAGGGCACAAUGGGCGCAAGCCUGAUGCAGCCAGGCCGCGUGUAUGAAGAAGGCCUUCGGGUUGUAAAGUACUUUCAGCGGGGAGGCGUUACCCGCAGAAGAAGCACCGGCUAACUCCGUGCCAGCAGCCGCGGUAAUUC